GUACAUAAAAAUAACGACGAAAUAGGAAAUGUUGUCUAUUAUAAUGAGAGAAGCAGUAACGAAAAGCCGCUCCCUACAAAAGCAAGUGCAUAUUGAGAACGAAUCAGGUGUCUAUAAAUAAUGCGUAGUUUUUUUCAAGGUUUUUUCGUAUAUUAUUAUACCAGGUAAAUCAAAUGUUAUAUUUAGGUGAAAACAUAUUAGAAAAUUGUGAGUCAAAUUACACAACAAACACUAAAACAUAUUAGGAAAUUGUGAGUCAAAUUACACAACGAACACUAAAGAGAAGAGUAUCAUUAAUUUUAUGAAAGUGAAUGUUACGAUCAACAAAAAGCAUUUUUGGGGGAUUCAGAAAAUGAUCCGGCACUGUGGCCGCCGAUUCUCAAGCAGUGUGAAAGGGCUAACAUCAUUUAGAAAGGUUCUUCUCCUCUACUUGAUGUAUUUUCCCGCAAUAGAAAACAAAACAGAGCAUUUCAAAAAACUGUUCUUUCCAUGAUUCUGCCCAAUGGAGAUACAGUUAAAAGAGAUUAUCUGGUAUGGAGCACAAUAAUAAGUUCACUUCUAUGUUUCCCUUGCUCUUUAUUUGGGUGCAAAAGUUUUGGAUGUCUUCUUCGUUGGAAUGGUGGAAUUAAGGAUGACUGGAGAAAGCUUAAUGAUCAAUUUAUAGCACAUCACAACAACCCUGUACACCAAAGCCAUUACAUCACAUAGAAGACUUUGAUGACAAAUCUAUCCGAUGAUAGCGAGAUUGAUACGGCAAUCAAACAAACUUUAGAGUCUGAGGUAACGAGGUGGCGUGAAAUAUUACGCCGUAUUUUGGAUGUAACAAUGUUUCUUUUAUCACGAAACAUGGCGUUUAGUGGUCAAACAUCUGCUCUUGGAGAGCAAGAAAGUGGCAAUUUUCUAGGAGCUCUAGACAUGAUUUUAAAUCACAACAAAACGUUAAAAAACCAUCUAGAAAACGUAGCUCGUCACCAAAAGAGGGAACUCGAAUGCAGGCACACUACCUCUUAUGGGAAUCACAGAACGAGUUUAUACGUGAGUGUGCUUCAUUAGUUCAGUGUGACCUUUUAAAGGAAGUGAGAGAAGCUGGAUACUUUACAGUCAUUAUCGAUGGAACCCCAGACGUUUCACACACUGAAAAAAUCAUUUUUAUUUUUCGCUUUGUUAAUUUCAGCUUCAACAAAAAAAGCUGAGAGGUAAAAAAGCGCUUUCUUUGCGUUGAAGACAUGGAGAAAAAAAAGGAGUGGGUAUUGCAAAAAUUUUUGUGAUGUUUUAAUAAAAGUAAAUCUUGACUUGCAGAAAUGCCGUGGCCUAGGUUUCAACAACGGUUCAAAUACGGCUGGAAUUUACGUUGGAGCACAAACUUUAAUUUUACAGAAAAAUCCAUUAGCCCUCUAUAUUCUUUGUGGUGCCCAUAGUCUUAAUUUAGCUGGAGUACAUGCAGUUGAAUCUUGUGCUGAGAUGAAGACUUUCUUUGGUAAUAUCCAAGCUCUCUACGUGUUUUUCAGCUGCAGUCCGGCUAGGUGGAAGAUUUUGCAAGAAUUGACUGGAAUCUCUCUUCACAAGCUUUCCGAUACCAGGUGGUUUAUCAAGUUCAGUCAAGUUUUGACAUAGUAAAGACUGUUUCCUCAAGAUUCUCAUUCAUCUGGUUCAAAGACCAAGAACCAGAUUCUCAAGAGAUAAAAGCUCGUGAAUUAGCACAGUUCUACGCUUAUGAUGUCAAAGAAGACAACUUCAUACAAGAAAUUUUGCAUCUCAAUUGUUUGAAGAAGUCUUCGUUUUUUAUUCUUGGAAACUCAUUGAGCCUUCUCAACCAAAUACAGUCAAAGAGUCUGCAGCCUAUUUUUACAUAUGUAUGCAUCUUAAUUCGAAUUUUUAAUAAGAAU